UCCAAGCAAACUGUGGUACCAUCUCCCAGCUUAGUUGAUAGGUGCAUCUUUGAAUCUGAAAUGGAUUCCCAUUUUGAACCAGGUUCAGUGCAUAUUAUACCAAGUUUUCCAGGAUUCCCUGGCCCAUCUGCUUGAAGGCAGAAAUACGUUUCCUUCAUUAUCAAGGUCUUCUGGGGGGUGUAGCUCCAGGCAUCCGACUCCGGACAGGGACCCAGCGUUAAUGGCUCAAACACUGACUUCCAUACAAUGCAAAGACCCGUUGCAGGAUGGAAAAUUACUUUAUGUGGCCUGGCAUCGGAUAGAUCUGGCCCUGCAUUUCGCAUGAAACAAGAAAUUUAGCUAUGGAUAAGCAAAUUUGCCUUCAGAGGGCCCACUACACAUGAGUACCAACAAUACCUUGAAAAGGAGACUGCAGGGCAGAAAUCCUCUGCAAGAAGCUUGAGUUCCGGACUUCACACCAGUUCCAAUUCAGCAAACCAUAAAACUCUUCCAACCCAAUAACCCCUUCUCUCGUAUAAUAACUCCCUACCAGUGUCCAUAAUGCCCAAUCGAAGUCCAGUUCAGCUGCCAGGCCAAAGAAGCAAUUCAAAUACCUAUUGUCAUUCACAUUGGUACCCCUUUGAUCCACCCCAAACUCACUCACAAACAAUGGC
rnacentral:lncRNA from 1 species